CCUGACUAAGGCCCUUCUCCCCCGAUCGCUCAGUCUGGCUGGGCAGGCGACUCUAGCAAGAGUCCUGGUGGUUCCAAACUUCUUCCAGAUGAUGGAGGCCACUGUGCUCAUUGGGACUUUCAAUGCUACAGAAAUCUUUCUAUACCCUUCGCCAAAUCUGUGCCUCGAUACAAUUCUGUCUCUGAGUUCUACAGACCUCAUGGCUUGGUUUAUGCUCUGAUAUGCACUGUCAUACUCUGAUACCUUAUAUAGACAGGUGUGUGCCUUUCUCAAUCAUGUCCAAUCAACUGAAUUUAGCACAGGUGGACUCCAAUCAAGUUGUAGAAACAAGGAUGAUCAGUGGAAACAGGAAGCACCUGAGCUAAAUUUUGAGUGUCAUGGCAAAGGCUGUGAAUAAUUAUGUACAUGUUAUGUUUUCGUUCUUUAUUUUUAACAGAUUGUCAUUAUGGGUUGUUGUGUGUAGAAUGUUGAGGAAAAUAAUGAAUUUAAUCCAUUUUGGAAUAAGGCUGUAACAUAACAAAAUGUGGAAAAAGUGAAGCGCUGUGAACACUUUGCGGAUGCACUGUAGUUUUACAGGUUUUUACACUGACUUAAAAAAAGUUGGAGAACAAACUUCAUGAAAAUGUUUUGAAAAUAACCACAGAAAAAAGUCAUAUGGUACUGAAAACCCCCACUAUUUAAUUUAAAACAAAAUUCAAAAAAUCUCAACAAAUUUGUAGUACAAACUUUAUACAUAUUAUUUUCUGACAUGGCGUAUCAAGAAAAUAAAAAAGUAGAAAGUAAAAAUAUUUCAGUAUAGAAUUUUGAAAAACAGUCUAGUAUAGUCAGAUUAUUAAAGAAGAUUAAAAUGAACCUUUUGUAUUUUAGUGUGUAUUAUGUCAAAAACAAAAAAAUAUAUAGUAUUGUCAAAAGAAGUGAAAGAACUACAAAUAUGAUUUACAUUUCAUGAAGAACCAAAUGACAAGAUAAAGGAAAAAAUGAACUUUUGGUUAAAAUAUAAAAUAACGUAAAAGAAGAAAAAUCCAGUGCAUAUCAAAUGUACAAGUUAUGCAAACUGCUAAAACACAAAGAGCUUUCACAGAAUAUAAUUGAAUAAAACAUUUAUUCUGACUGGACCCUCCAAACCUAAAACAUUAAAACACAGACAAGGGCAACAAGCCCCCCAGCACUGAGGCGCCUCUUCAUGAUGCUCUGAGGUCACUGCCAAUGGCCUCGAUGUACACUGACCUCUAGUGGCCACGUUCAGGAAGAACAGUACACUGACCUCUAGUGGCCACGUUCAGGAAGAACAGUACACUGACCUCUAGUGGCCACGUUCAGGAAGAACACUCAACAGCAAUCUAAUGUUAAUAUGAUUCUAGUGGGACAUUUUAUUUCAGCUCACUUGACUCCUAAAAAUAAAUACAGAAUGAUAACCAAUUUUCUAUAGUUGAACGUUAAAGUGUAAAAAUAGGUCAAGUGUCACUUUUCUAGGUUUUGGGGGGUUGAUUUCACAAUGAUUGUGUGUAAUACCCAUUGAGAGAUUAAUGCUUUCACCUGUGACACUUUCUGCGUUUCUUUCUCUCUUUUCUGUCAGCGUGGUGCACACAUUCCUUCAGGGGGAGCCGUCGCUCUUUCUGUAAAUCAUACUCGGGCUGCUUUUUAUUUUCAUACAUUAAACAUUUUCCCUUUACUGCUAAAAUCUUUCUACAUUCACUUUCUGUCUGGAAAAAAAAAUAAUUCACGGGCCACUGGCAUUUUGGGAGAUGAAAAUUUAUAUUAUGGGAGUAUAAUGGUUUUCUUCCCAGUGUCCCAUUGUGUGCUGGAUCUGCAGGACUCCAUUCAUCUGUCCCUUUUUCUUCAGUUAUCGUCUCCUUCUCUGCCCCCCUCCCUACAUUUACGUUUCUGUGAUAUCUGCACCUAAAAAGACGCCUUCUGUCCCUCAUUUUGCCCGUCUCCUCGUCUCUUUGCGUGGGUGGGAGGAAGAAAAGGCCGGUCAGUGGAGUUGGACAUGAACAAAGAAGUGGUGUACUUGUAGUGUACAGUAUUGUACUGUACAGUAGUGUAGUUAAGCAAUAAGGUACAAGAGGCUGUGUUUUAUCGUCUGGCCUAACAACCCCUGAACUGUUUCAUUAUUGAAGAUAAAGUACUGCCUCAAGUACCUUUAUUGUUUCUAUACUACGGUUACCAGCGAAAUUAUAAAUGCACACCAGAUCGUUUGGGGAGCUCCCGGCGUCCAGCCGCCUCGUCUGGCUGAGUUUCUCUCACCGGAUCGCCACUAUCGAAAUACAGGGAGACAAACACAAUCCUUGAUUCACUGCACCUGAGGCCAAUGGCGCCUCCACCUGGCACAUCAGUGUAGUUUAGGGUGCAGUAGGACACAGUAGUGUAGUUUAGGGUGCAGUAGGACACAGUAUAGUGUAGUGUGCAGUAGGACACAGAGCAGGAGCAGGAUGAGCAGCAGCAGAUAAAACCCAGCUCCUGCAUGCAUAUUUAAUUUCUGGAGUAUUGCAAGCCAGCAGGAGAUGUAGGAAAUCUGGCAGAUUAUGAAGAAUUCAGCUCCUUUAUCGGUCUUCUCUCUUCCUCUAUCUGCUUUUCAGCCUGUGACUGCUUUUUUAACCCCUUACUUCCAUCUUACCUAAGUGGCUUUGUAAUGAGCUUCUCUUUCAUUUGAUACGUGAAGAAACAGAUGUGGGGAUGUCGUCCCUUUCUCUGUCUGCUAAUGGUCAGAAUGAUCAGAUGACCUUAAAAGUGAGAUUUGGUUCUUUGUGUUCAUUGUAGGGAUUGUGGUGUUUCUUUAAUAUUUCGGGGUUAGGAUUUUAUCCAGUACGGUCAAACCGUAUUUCCUUUUGAUCUUGUUAAUAAAUUGUGAAUCAUUAAUGUGUGUGUUACGUGCCUUGUUUGUGUUUGCGCCUGUGUGUGUGUGUGUGUGUUUCUUCAGGUGUGCUGGCGAUGUCACUCCUGCAGCUGAUCAGUGUUAGGGAUUUAAGCAAGAAGUGCACCCCUAGUGGUGGAAAUGAUAUUACAUGUAGUAAUGUUCAGGGUAGAUGUGUAGUUUGUGAUGUUAGAUAUUAGUUAUUACAUUAACAUGUUAGAUGAAGUGAAUGCAAUAUGAAUCAAACACAAUGUGGAGUCAUGUAAAUCAUAUAAACACUGUACACAUUAACAUUCUGUCACCAUGUGAUGUUAAAACCUGGGGACCGAUGCUAGUUUCCGUCAAUUUUUACGUGUUGUACUUAAGUGCACUAGUUAUUAGAUGAAGACCAUCUAUGCACGCUUUGUUAUAUUCACUCAUUGAGGCAUAACGCCAAAUGUAUCUACAUUGAAUGUAUUGGAAGGUGAGGGACAGAAAGGACAGAGAGGUCUCAGGUUACAGCAGCAGCUUCACACCUCGAUGUGAGGGGGACAAACCAGGAGGGGACACUUUGAAGGAGAAGCCAAUGACAUUCAAAUGCACCAAAGAAGACACACCUCAGGAGUUUUCAAAUGACCAAAGCGAGGAAAGGACUGUUAGAAUUCUCCUGCAGCUGCUUUGAUGAGUCACUUUAGACUCGACUCAGAGAAUUCUCUAUUUUGCGAAAUAUUGCACUGUUCGAAUUGUAUUUUACUUUGUAACUGUAUUCCUUACACUUUGUUUAGUUAAUAAAUACUUUUUGAUUUUUAAAUUUGAGCAAGUUGACUCUUUUGAUUCUUAGUUUCUGGCCGGGACGAGAACAAAGGAGUGAGCCCUCCUUCGAGGGCUUUCUGAACCCUAAACAUCAGCAUGGGGCUACGCGGCUGUGUUGCUGCAGUGGAACCAGAGCGGAACCAGAGAGGUGUUUGGUGCUGCCGUGAGGAGUUUUUGCGAGCCAGUGAAGAAGGAGGCAUACGCCAUACCAGUCUUCCUUUUGGAGAUUGUUUUCAGUUGCCUUGUGUUGAGUUUUCCAUCAUUAAUUACUAGGGGUGUAACAAUUCAUUUUAACAACGAUUCGAUUCGCGAUUCAUGGUUGCCGAGGACAUUUUGGUUUAAGUAGAUAUUAUUUCCUGCAUUCUAGUGGAUUUUUGUGUGGUAUGCUAAAUAUGUGCAAUACCUCAACUUCAUUCAUGUUCAUCUGAUCAUGACUUGUAGACUUGAGCUGAACAUUCAACCAGAAAACAAUUGUUGAGCCUCAAUGACGGUCUUUGUACCACAAUAAAGCCUAAUUAAUAGACCUGUGUUUGAGAUUGGACCAAGGUAGGUUGAUUGACAUUUUGAGUAUAAUGGUAUUCAACCCAUUUAGAACUGAAACCUAACCUGUAUUGUUAAUAAUUGUAUUCUUAAGAGCACGUAUGUUCAUGGAUCAACACAUGACCAAAAUAACUAAACAGAGGUAUCAGAUGCAGAUCAGAAGCUGGUCCUUUUCGUAGGUCCCAGUUGGGAAACGUCUUCAGCGUGAGUCCUUUUCUUUAGUCGGUUAUUAAAACAGCCUGAAUAAAACACGCUGUGAUGUUUUGAGCGUGCGGUUCACCACCAGGUUAACAAAGUGCUCUGCGGCUGCUUGUUGUGACACCACACAAACACAAACCAAUAAUUUAUUUCAAGAUUUAAAGUUUAAGAGAGUAAGUUCUUAAUUGUACCACAUGUGAUUAACGUCUCUCUCUCACAUUGGAGAUGAAGUUUUUCUUCAACGUUGGAUUCUCUUUUUUCCUUUGUAACUCUUCUUCUGUGGCUAACUUCGGGAUGAAGAGGAUGAUGUGUAUGCAGCGAAUAUGGAUGGAUGGACAGAUGCGCUUCUUAGCGCCCUCUACCAUCGGGGAGGUUGAAGAAGAACGAACGUGUCUCGGCCCAAACAUUUUUUGUGUGUGGGAAAUUGGAUGUGUGGCGUGAGAAAACAUUCAACGCGUGUUUCUCAUGGCGAAAGCGUGAGAGCAGCUCUGGUUUGACACGUGGAUGAAUUCCUCUGCACGGUUCUACAUCCAAUGCAAAAAGCUCUCUCCAUCUUCAACCACCGCCUUGCUUUCUCCCAUGUAACUGACCGCAGCCAGCAGCCGUUUCGUUUCCCGCGAUUACUUCCGGAAGUAAACAAACGUAAGUUAACUACGUUAAAAUAUUUUGUUGCAUUAAACUUGGCCACAUUAAUCGCAUAGAUUAACUUGUUUACGUAAACGUAACGUAAAAACUGAUUUCUAGCUUUUGAGAAAGGUGACCACUCACUAUUUGUCCACAAUAACUAUUCAAUUUGCUUGGAAUGCUGGCUUGAAAAUGAAUUUGAAACGAUAUUGACAAGGAAAAAAGUCCCACAGGUAUUUCAUAGACAAAAGCUUUUUUUAAUGAAAAUCAUGUAUUUUCCUGUCAAGUAAAAAAGUUUGAUCAUAUGCAUACUAUUUAUAGCUUUAACAUAGCAGGCAGUAUAAAGAGGGUUAACAUUUGAAAUAUUCAGAGCAUUCAGAAGCAUACUUCUUCUAAUAAGUAGAAACGUACGUGGUCCUCUGACUGGUUGUUCCUCACUAGAGAAACGCAUCCGGUGUGUGAGUCUGGGCUCAAAUUCACACAUCCAGAUGUUGAGAGGAGCUCAAUCAAUGCCGCAUGUUAGAAAGAGGACUCGGGAUGACAUGUUGACCUUGGCGGUUUUAUUCUGACACGUCUCCAUUUAGUUUGUUAGCUAAGCUUGAUGUCCAAGAGGUCUGUUCUGUUGGACUUUUCCCCAGAUGUCUAUUUAUGGAAGACUGCUUGAUUAUUUGCUCCUGAUUUGUUAUUGGCUUUGUUUCACGUUCAGCUGAGAAUAACAAACAACCAAAAUCACUAGAUUUGAAAGACAAAGGGUAACAAACACGUAUUGAAAGUUCUCUCUUCAAUUAGAUUUGAUUUUUUUGUGCUAUUUAUAUAUUCUAGAGAUUUGGAAGUUAUCAUUCUAGAAUACAUGCCUGCCACCUUGCAGCUACACCAGUUCUGAAGCAGACUUAACAUCCUUACUAAGCCUGCAGAUUUUUUUAAAUGCGCUUUAAAUGUGAAAACAAUAUCUGUACGUAGAGAUUGUCAGCAGAAUACUACUAAGUACCACAGUGUCCCAAACGUUGUACUUAAAGGACCAGUGUGUAGCAUUUGGUGCCAUCUAGAGGAGCGGCUGAGAGUCACUAAAGUGGUCAUAACAAGACCUUCAUGACCUAAAAGCUCAAUGUUAUAGGAAGAUAAUAGUCAUAAUAAGGUGGCCCCGCCCUAAAGCACACCCUGCUGUAUGUCCAAUCGACUCAAAAUGGGACCAUUGUUUAUGGAAGUGGACAUCAUGCUGUUGUAGUUUUAGUAGUAGAAAUAUGGCACAGCAACAUGAUGGACGUGGUGCAAGAGAACACGCUCGCACCGUAUUCUCAGAUAAUUACUUCCUGUCACAACAUACAUGUCACAGUGUGUAAGGCAGGGGGCCACAUACUGACCAGUCCAAUCCUCGGCAAUGAUACGGUCAACGGGGGGGGGUCAUUUUCUAAUGGACGCUCCUGCCUGGAGGAACGACGCUGUCGAUCCCCCCCUGGUCUAACGCAUGCGCUCACUCGCAGAGUGCGUCCCCCAGUGGACUUUUUAGUGGAGUGACACCUUAAAAGGUAAGUAGUGGUGCUAAGAAUUAUUAUUGAUUCAUUAACAAAGUCAUUUGCAUGUUUGUGGAGUAUGAGGAGAACUGCAGAUGUAAUAUACAACCUAAUAAAUUCAUAAAUGAUAUACAACUGAUAUACAAAUGAUAUACACAGCCCUUCAGCAACACCACCCCCAGCAGCUUAUGUGUAUAUAUAUAUAUAUAUAUAUAUGGGGGUGGUGUCGCUGAAGGGCGGUGCACUGGAGAAUAGGACGGGGGAAGAUGGGAGAGGAGAGAGGAAGCAUGAAUAAUCCAUUGGAGAAUCGCAACAGGAUUAAGACAAGGUGGAAGCCAAAAAUAUCCCGGGCCAAAGCAGUUUGGCGCAAUAACGCUGCAACGGAGCGCCACAUGACAGCAAGCCACUCGAGCUGCCAGUCUCCGCUGGUUCAGGAAGCAAAGCAUUAGGGGGAUUAUAAAGAGCCACUGGGAUGUCGCCGUGUUGAGUAAAACUUCCAGUGUGACGGAGAAUAGAGUCCUGGUCCUGUUCCUACUGCCUGUGAGCACAGAACAUUUGGUAAAUAUAACUUCAAACUUUACAGAUGGUUUUCUGUAUACAAACGUCAGUACAAAGCCUAUUUAUGGAGCCAAAUCCAGAAAAAACUAAUGUGAACCUGUUGCUUUGUUGUUGAACAUUGAAAAAUACAACAAUGUAUUCAAAAUUAAAACGAAUAUCAAAAAAUAAUUAUAUGUGAAGAUUGAAAAAAAUAUUUUAUUCAAAAAAACUAUAUUCAACCCAAAAAUACUUUUCGUCCACUCAUUUUUAUUUUGAAUACAUUGUUGUAUUUUUUUAUGUUCAAGACCAAAACUUAAACUUUCAGGUUCACAUUUAUUUGUCAAAUGAUCAAAACCUUUGACCUGGAUUUGGCUCCAUAAUACUCCAGCAUAGAAAUAGCAGUUUGUUUAAGGGGGGAAAGUGUGCCAGGGGGCUCAAUAGCAACCCACUACUAAUUUUUGCCUCAGAAAAGGCGCAGUUGUCGAUCUUACUCACUAUAGAAGGAACUAAAUGUCAGGAUAAUAUGCCAUUGGUUACAAAUUCUGUCCCAUACAAGUCCCCCACCUUUAUGGUUAGUGGAAUACUAACAUGCUACCCUUUAUUUUAAACAUGCAAUAGAAUCAAAUGAUUAUGAAGUAUUCCAUUUCCCUCAAGUGAACUGAAUCAUUGUCUUACCUUUUUCUAGAUUUCCCCUGAAACAAUUCAUUAAUCCCUGUUUUGCCGAUGUGUCUUUUCCUCAUCCUCCCUCUUAACGCCUCUCGCCUACAUUUCCUCUCCCCCUUUCUGCUUGUAUCACUUCAGUCAAACAAGGUUAAAUGUUCCCUCUUGGUAAAAGAAGCAUCAACCAGCAAAACAGAAUUUAAAUUCUUCCAAAGCAUAACAGGGGGACCAGAAAAACACUAACGCCAAACGCUUAACCUACAGUUUGUCUGUAGAAAAUAUGUGUGCCCAGUACAAAGCCUUGCAGAGCUGUACACUGCUGCAGGGUGACACUAGAAUUUGACAAAGCAACUUGGACAAGUGUCGACAGCGACUACAGUUUGGGAGAUGACGGAAUACAAUUCUUUCUUAAGUAAUGUCUCGGUUCAACGUCUGGGAACAAACAUGCACACCUGACAUUCUUGUAAGAUGAACAGUUAUGAGAAAAACAAUUACAAAUCAAUAUUUAAAAAUCUAAAUCCCACAUUCAUCCAAUUUAUUACACCUCCAUUCACCCAACAACCACCGACAUUUCAUGUCACUGUCAUCUCAUCCCAGUGUACUUUUUCCUUUCUAAAGACACUUUAAGACCCUAAAGAUGUCAGCAUCUGCAUUGGUAUGUUAUAAAACACAUGUAAGGCAAUGAACAGCACAGAUUUAUGAAGCUACCAGGAUUUACAGCACUUAACGGAGGAAUACCACCCACUUUAAGAGCGCAUUCUGGUCGGAUAUAGGGAGUCAGAUUAAUCAUUAUGAUCAGUAAGCAGAAGCUCCAGAAGAACCAGAGAUUAGCUAACCAGCAAAACAUUAGAAUUGCUAUCUAAUUGUGCAGUUAUUGCUGCAUAUGUUGGCUUCUCUGUAACUUACCUAAUAUUUACUCACUGAGUAACUUGAAGGGUUGUCAUAGGUAUCUGUUGUGUCCCCAAAUCAAUUUUCUUAUUUUAAAAGAGUUAGGAAAAAUGUUUUCUUUUAAAAACCCUACAUGGAACAUCUGGAGAACUUCAUCCUGAGGCCAAUUCAAUAUGCAGUGUGAAAAGCUACAUUUUAAAGCUACGAACUUAAGAUAGAAAUAUCAGUUUGUCCAAAUUUGUAAUUUUUUACUUGUGGCAAAUAGUGGCAUUUUAAAUGGGUAUUAUUUGAGGACAGCCAGUUCUCAGCUAGAAGACAUCUCUCUUUCUCUUUUGAAAGAUAAUAUUAACCAUUUCCAUCAAGUUAUGUUUCAGACAGUUACCAUAUGAGAUAUUCUCCUAAUUUCAAAACCUAUACUCCAAGAACAUUUUAAUGACUAACAUUUUCCAUGGCAAAAACCUUUGGUGGCCAGUUUAUAGUUAACGGUAGCAAAUUGUAACUGUAUGAAUAAAAUCAUUAAGUCAAUUCUAUAUUUAAAGAGGAUUCUACAAUGUUGUAACAAUUAGAAACUUGUUUCUAUAAAUUAAUCAUAAACUACUGAUAGUUCUUCUGUUGUUGACCACGAGGACUAGACGUACCUAGCACAGGUAACUUCUUAAAAUGAGUGGUAUACCUUUUUAGAACGUGUUAUUUAAGGCCCUGACUUCUGCAAAAUCAAACUAACCGGGCUCCUCCAAAUACAUUGAAUUAAAAGACUACUCUAUUGUAUCCUUGUUUAAUGUGUUUAAGUCCUAACAUUUAAAAAGUAAUACAUAACCAUUGGUUAGACAAUGUUUUAUGGGCAGCGAAAAGAAGCAUAAAAAUAUUUUGACAGCAACACAAACCUCUUAACAUUGCUAACUUUCUGUUAAUACUUAAUGAAAAAUGUCAGUAGCUGUGAUAAAAGGAUAGUUUUGAUGAAUGGGGUCACUAGAUUUCUUUUGGGGGGCUUAGUUGGGAUACAAUAUAGAAGACAUAAAUAAAACAUUUGUCCUCUGAGGGUGUGGUGGGAAUGCAAAUUAUUCAACAAGCAAAGUGGUUAUUGCAUAUUUGUAUUGCCCUGCAUUGUACAAUCCCUGGCUGUACAAACUGAAUAGGUACCUGGGAAUGGUCACAGGAUAGUACAUCCUAUCUACCUGCACAAACAUUUACUUUCCACAUACCAUCAAAUAUUUUAGCAGAUUUAUUCCUCGUUUAAUUCAGGGUCUGGGUUGUCGUGAAAAUAGAUUCUGAGGCAACCUCACCUAACAUUUCAGCUGUAAUAUCACAGUGUCACAUACCCUAGAACAGUGGUCCCCAACCACCGGGCUGCGGACUGGUACCGGCCCAUGGGCCAUUUUGUACCGAGUCACACCACAGAAAGAAUAUAUAUAUUUUUUUUCUAAAAAAGUUUUAUUUAGAAAAUUGACUGGAUUCUCUCCUAAUUAUGUACGCGCGACUACUACCCCCCGCCCCCGUCGGUCGGUCGGUCCGCCCACAACGACUACUACCCCCCCCCCCCCAUUAUUCCGCCGGACCUUCAUGACCUUCUUAACAGAUAUGUUACUCUGCGAAAUAUUGUCUGACGUGAAAAUGUCUGUGAAGGUAAAAAAGGUUGGGGACCACUGCCCUAGAAGACAAUAAGGGGCUACAACACACCAUAUAGUAGUAGAAGGGAUCCAAAGAAACAUAUCCAUAACAUUCAAGAAUUUGCAAAGCUUGAAGAGGUCUGGUAAUCAUCAUUUCUUUUCUUCUUUUCUCAUGGAUUAAGGUUAGUUUCAUAUAUGACCAUAAAACAAGUGAAUAAAUGUGACUCAAACAACAGAAUUCUACUACAAAUAUAUAGGAUUCAAACUAUAUUUGAACAAAGAAACAAACUUAUGAGAAGAUGAAAUUGUAUUGGAACCAAGCCUAUCUUGGUGGAUUUAGGACCCAAAGAUCGCAAGCAGAGGAACUUAAAAACAUUGGAUAGAAAAAUGUUGUUUAUGGUCUUUUCUGGGCAUUUGUCGACAAUAAGAAUAAUUCUACAUAAUACAAGUUCAUAGUCUUGCAAUACUCAUCUGCACAUGUUGCCAUACCAUACUGAGGCGAUGUAUUCCACCAUGUGCAACAUCAUGAUAAAGCAAUUAGCCUCGCUCUGAGGCGAUCCUGGACACAACAACACUAGUAAGUGUCUGGGGCCCAGAUCCGUGCUUUGCAGUUUCACAAGCAUGUUGGAAAGCAACGGUGUCUUUCAGGUGAAAACAUAGUUGUGGAUAUUGUAUUUCAUUUCCGCUAAUAAAUCCCCUGAAUUUCUUCACACUGGUCCUUUUAAGGUUGUAUUUUUAUCAAAGGGACUUUGAGGAUAAUAUAAAUCCGUCUUUAAAUACCGUAUAUUCCAUGUUGCUUAUAUAACCCAUUGGUAGGAAUCAGUGCGUUGCCUUGAAUACAUUUUUAUUAAAUGCUAAUAACGCUAUUUUAAUACAGAGCUGCCUAAUUUGAUUGCAUUUAGCAUUGGGAAUGAUGCUAAUUCUAACAAAGCUAAAAAAAUUUAAAAGUAGCCAGGUAACAGCAAUAGCUUACUAGGCAGCAAUGACCUAAACAGGACACUAAUUUAGGAAGUACGUACCUGUAAUGCCAGAUAUCUGCCUCCAUAGCAUUCUGUAAUAGCUUCGGACAUGUUUUGUACAUUUUUGACCUAUGGUUUUCGGAAAAGGGAUUAUUACAAACCCUAAUAAUCUGUCCUGUUUUUCAGAAAUGCUGUUGAGUACUGGACGACUUCCUUAAAUGUUAGGACCAAGUACAUAAUAGAGUUAAGACCAACAAACAAACAAUAAAAUGGCUUCCACAUUUUCCCAUAUACAAGCAUACAUUGACAGUCCAGUGUGUGCAAGGAAUAAGAUCUACUAUACUGGUAACAUUCCACUGUUUAUUACUGGCCUACUUUGUUCAACUUUUUCCCUUUUUAUUAUGUUUUUUAAGAAAAUGCUGUGAUUAAAAAUCUUUCUAUAGUAUAUUUUUGUUAUAAAAUAUAGAAAAUAGUAAUUUACAGUUAUAUUACACAUGAAAUAUCCUUUAGCCUUUGUGUAGGAACAUAUGUUACUCAUUUUGUUCUUUUGCAGCACAUGAUGUUACAGAAUAUGCAUCAAAGAAACAAACAUAAGUCAGUACAGCGUAGCAAAAACCCGAGAAAAAAACAAAACAAUGCAGACUUCAUACAGAAAAAUUAAAUGCAUGCAUACAUACAAUACUUUGCCAUGCAAACACAGUUCACUUUGGGAAGUAAAUUGUUUCAGAUUUGCAUUUCUUUCCCGUGUUUCAAACAUUUCAAAACUUUUUCCUAUACAUACGUGACAUGGCUUUCACAUAAUGUGACGUUCACUGCAGCUUCUGCACAAAUAAGUCUAAGUUGGCCACUGUUUGGUUGAUCAAAAUUCUAAGGUUGUUAUCAUUGACAUUUUGUGGGACAUUUGUUUGUUGUAAAUUAUUGUAGGUAAACUAUGAGUCCUUUUUUACCUUUCUGUCUCAUUUGCUCACUGUUAUUCAUUUUUACUGAAGGAGGAAUUUGACAAGUAGUUAUUCAGUUUCCACUUUAAUUCUUCCUCCCUCGCCAACUCCUUUUGUCAAACACAUAUUUCUUACUCACAUUUGGUCCAAUGUGACCAUUGUAAUCUCCCCAUAGAUACCUUUUUAGGCUGUCCUCUGUGAGGAAGCAGUGUCCCCUCAUGACCGCCCAGUAAGACCCAGCUAAUCCCUCAGGGACAUAUUGACUCGUCUGCAACCAGCCACAUCUGCCUCCCUAUCACACGCCACCGGCUAAGAUCUGGAUACAACGAUCAGUAUCUCUCAGAGCUGCUGACCUUCACUGUGUUUGUUUUGCUACUGCAACAGAGAUUAUUAUCGGGGCUUGACACAUAUAAUACAUACAUAUGAAUAACUACAAACCAUCUAGGUGCACUGCGGCCAUUUUAGAGUUCUUUGACUGACUAUUAAAAGAGUAUUUGUAUGAGUGAGGUUACCUUCACGUUCAAAUGCUCCAAAUAGACGUCACAAUGUCACUUCCUGGCAAUAUGUUGUUCCAAAUUCUUGAUGAUUGUAUAAAAAAUUGAUGAUAAAAUAAAAUGAAUAACCCAGAACGGUCUUAGGCCUGGAGAAAUAUGAAUAUUCAUAAUAUCAAACAGCAUUUUUGGAUUACGUGGGGGGGUAAGAACAUGCUGAAAAACACAUUUAUACAAAUUAUCAAAUUAUAUCCUAAAAAGAUGGUAUGUAUUAGAAAGCAAUUGCUUAUUUACACAUGUAGCAGAUACGGAGAAACAUUGGUAACUAUUUGGCGUUGUUUUUGGAACUCCUGAUCAAUGUAAGUCCAAUAUUAAUACUUCUUUAAUAAAAGUUUUGGUCUUAUAAUAUAUAUAUAUAUAUAUAUAUAUAUAUAUAUAUAUA
ensembl:lncRNA